rnacentral:tRNA from 1 species
GGGCUCAUGGUCUAGUGGUUAUGACGUCGCCCUCACACGGCGAAGCUCCCCGGUUCGAAUCCGGGUGAGCCCA